GCAGUGGGGAAUAUUGCACAAUGGGCGCAAGCCUGAUGCAGCCAUGCCGCGUGUAUGAAGAAGGCCUUCGGGUUGUAAAGUACUUUCAGCGGGGAGGAAGGCGGUGAGGUUAAUAACCUUACCGAUUGACGUUACCCGCAGAAGAAGCACCGGCUAACUCCGUGCCAGCAGCCGCGGUAAUACGGAGGGUGCAAGCGUUAAUCGGAAUUACUGGGCGUAAAGCGCACGCAGGCGGUCUGUUAAGUCAGAUGUGAAAUCCCCGGGCUUAACCUGGGAACUGCAUUUGAAACUGGCAGGCUUGAGUCUUGUAGAGGGGGGUAGAAUUCCAGGUGUAGCGGUGAAAUGCGUAGAGAUCUGGAGGAAUACCGGUGGCGAAGGCGGCCCCCUGGACAAAGACUGACGCUCAGGUGCGAAAGCGUGGGGAGCAAACAGGAUUAGA
rnacentral:rRNA from 1 species